UUUGCUGAGGAUGGUGGUUGCUGUGCUGAGGUGUCUCCAUUUAAUUGGCUGGAGUUUGGUCGUCAUUCUCGUGCGCUUCGCGUGCUUCCGCCAAGAAGAGGAGAGCUGGACUUCCUGCUGUUGUCCGAGAAGAAGUGAGGAAGGACCUUCGAUUUUGAGAAGGAACCGUUCCUCAGUGCCGUCAGUACGCCAAGAAGAGGAGAGCUGGACUUCCUGCUGUUGUCCGAGAAGAAGUAAGGAAGGACCUUCGGUUUUGAGAAGGAACCGUUCCUCAGUGCCGUCAGUACCCUUUCCCUCGUCAGUAGCUUGCUAGCUGAGCUUAUGACGGUUGCUGAUGGCUUGAUCGAUGGCAAGUGCUGGGUGAUGGGCUCAAUGUGGGUUGCCAUGAUUUGACAACAUUGCCCUUCUUUUGAAACCAAAACCGCUCUAUCUUGCUGCCCUUCUUCCUUGUCUUUGCGAUUUGUGAGUCUCGCCUCUCCUCUGGACAGCUGCCGAAGAACACAUUUUUUCUGGUGAAAUAUUACAAAUUUUUUGGUCAGUCAUGUACUGCCUACCGUGCUAAUGUUAGAACCACUCAGUGUUCAGCUUCUAAACAAAAUUGCUUUGCCGAGCCUGCAAAUAUUACUCUCGUCUUUCCUUCUGGAGGAUUAGGUGGCUGUCAACAUGAAGCAUGUUGUUGGCAAGUUGAGUUGGAGGCUGAAAGAUUUAGGAUUGCUGUUACAGCUGAAGCUCAGAGCAUUUUUUAUGCUCUGUCCAAAACGU